CUCUCUCUCAAAAGCUCCUGCACCACCGCCACGCGGCCACAACUGGGCGGAGCCGGUCGAGUUGGUGGCCAUUCGGCGGGCUCUCGAUCACAAACUCAAUUUCGAAUAUCACGAACUAUCGAUUGCAAAGGCUCUGCUGAUCGCUCUUCCAGAUCCGCCACCCCUCAGGCUCUGUCUGUCGUCUCAACUCGGAUGUGUGCCAGGUCAACGUAAGAUUAUUAUAUGAGUAAUAUGUUUUCUGUUCGAUUUUUAGGAACGAGCUAUAGGGAGCUUUGAGCAUUACAUUAGCCUCUAUAGCAGGGGCAAUUGCAACAGUUAUGGUGGUCUACGAUGUAUUUUUUUUAGUAUUUGUUUGUUUUCCUUGUACAUGUUUUGCAACAAUGAUUAUUCGUUUAUUUUUCGCAUAUUUCAUGCCAGAAUGGUGACGUUUUGCUUCUGAUGUUUCUAAUUGGAAUGUUUUGUCACUUUUUUC